AUUUCUCUUAAUUUUAAUGAGUUGUGGACUAAUAUGGGCAAAAGCCUGACGGAGCAAUGCCGCGUGAAGGUAGAAGGCCCAAGGGUCAUGAACAUAUUUUCUCGGAGAAGAAGAAAUGACGAUAUUCGAGGAAUAAGCAUCAGCAAACUCUAUGUCAACAGUCCCGGUAAGACAUCGGAUGCAAAUGUUAUCCAGAAUGAUUGGGCGUAAAGAGUAUGUAGGUGGCUUUUCAAGUCCGACGUCAAAUCCUAUGGCUCAACCCUGGACAGGCGGUGGAAACUACCAAGCUAGAGUAUGGUAGGGGCAGAGAGAAUUUCUGGUGGAGCGGUGAAAUAUGUAGAGAUCGGAAAGAACACCAACGGCGAAAACAUUCUGCUGGGCCAACACUAACACUGAGAGAUGAAAGCUAGGGGAGCGAAUGGGAUUAGAUACCCUAGUAGUCCCAGCCGUAAACGAUGGAUACUGGGUGUUGUGCGUAUCGACCGAUAUUGCUCAUCAUCGUUUAGCCAUUGCAUUUGUUUUUUCGGACGAAGCAGUAUCUUGUACCUGCGAUUAGAAGUGUUGUUAAUUUCAGUU
rfam:Amborella trichopoda AMTR_V1.0_contig_44702, whole genome shotgun sequence.